GGCGCGGAAACUGAACGCGCCGCAACGGCAGCCGCUGCUUCUUCACGCUCCUCAGGCGCCUUGGGUGCUCCCGGUCCCGCCAUGACCGCGCCCUGCCCGGAGGACCCCUCGCUGGAGAGGCAUUUUAAGGGCCAUCGAGAUGCAGUCACCUCUGUGGACUUCAGUCUCAACACAAAGCAGCUGGCCAGUGGCUCCAUGGACUCGUGCCUUAUGGUGUGGCACAUGAAGCCCCAGUCACGUGCCUACCGGUUUGCUGGCCACAAGGACGCCGUAACCUGUGUGAACUUUUCCCCUUCGGGACACCUGCUUGCUUCUGGCUCCCGUGACAAGACUGUCCGCAUAUGGGUACCCAACGUCAAAGGCGAGUCAACUGUGUUUCGUGCACACACAGCCACAGUGAGGAGUGUCCAUUUCUGCAGCGAUGGCCAGUCCUUCGUGACAGCCUCCGACGACAAGACAGUCAAGGUGUGGUCAACUCAUCGCCAGAAAUUCCUGUUCUCCCUGAGCCAGCAUAUCAACUGGGUCCGCUGUGCCAAGUUCUCCCCGGAUGGGCGGCUCAUCGUAUCCGCCAGUGAUGACAAAACUGUCAAACUGUGGGACAAGACCAGCCGGGAGUGUAUCCACUCGUACUGUGAGCAUGGCGGCUUUGUCACCUACGUGGACUUCCACCCCAGUGGUACGUGCAUCGCUGCUGCCGGCAUGGACAACACAGUGAAGGUGUGGGAUGUGCGGACUCACCGGUUAUUACAGCACUAUCAGUUGCACAGCGCAGCGGUGAACGCCCUCUCCUUCCACCCAUCGGGGAACUACCUGGUCACAGCCUCCAGCGACUCAACCCUGAAGAUCCUGGACCUCAUGGAGGGCCGGCUGCUCUACACACUCCACGGCCAUCAGGGUCCAGCCACCACGGUUGCCUUUUCAAGAACGGGGGAGUAUUUUGCUUCUGGCGGUUCGGAUGAGCAAGUGAUGGUUUGGAAGAGUAACUUUGACGUCGUCGAUUAUGGAGAAGUGCUAAGAGUGCAGAGGCCCCCGGCCGCGCGGGUCAGCUCCUCUGGGACUCUGCCAGAAGUGGACCCCCUCGUCCCGCCCGGCAGGGGCAGGAGUCAGGAGUCAAUGCAGAGCCAAUCCCAGGAGCCCGUGAGCAUGCCCCAGUCGCUGACCAGCACACUGGAGCACAUCGUGGGCCAGUUGGACGUCCUCACCCAGGACAGGCUGAGGGCAGUGCCGUGGACGGCUGGGAGUGGACGUUAUGCAAACAAUGGAUGCUGUGGUCCCCUGGAGUUUGGGAGAUGCCAGAUGCGCUCCUGCAGGACUUCUCAGAGCCUUGAUGCGCUGCAGCCAGGGCCAGAGUUCAGAGUUUCUCAGACAUCUGACCACGUGACCCUCUUUCUCCAGGUAAUCAACUGGUUUUGAGGCCUGAGGAUGGUUCGUCAAGUGCUGAUUGACCAGUAAUGCCUGCCCGGGAAGAAUCAUGGCUGAGCGCCCAGCAUGUGGGAUCUUAGUUCCCUGACAAAGGGGUGGCAUCUGUGGCCCCUUCAUUGGAAGCGCAGAGGAGUCAAUACCAGGACUCUCCUUUGAGUGCUGUCUCCAUCCCUGCCGACCAGCACCUGGACUACUACCUCCUCACUGUCGGGCCCAGCACCCUCCCACAUGGGGGAGACCUGAGGCCCAGAGAGGUGAGAACUAUCACAAUGUAUCAGCAAGUAACAGAGUAGAGUGUGCAUCUGAGCCCCUCAGGCUCUGCGAGCCCUUUCCACGCGUUCCAGAUCCCCAGACAAGAAGGCACUGCCCAGCAACCCUAGGACAAGUCUGCGUGGGAGGCCAAAGACCUGCUUUUCCUAUCACCUCUCUGGGCCUAGAAUCUCAGGUGAUAAGACCAUCUAUGAAUGCAAGACUCUGGUCUUUUCGGAAGCGUAACCGUGGAAGAGAUCCCUGCUCCUCCGUGACACAGCUGUGCAGUUGGGAUGAAACCUUCAGGUAGACUCUCCUUCGCGAGGACAAAAGAGCGUUAGUGGGGAGGUGGGUAGCUGGGAAUGCUGCAGGGCCGCUCCUCUACGUGGUCGGAAAGCUCAAAUCCUGCGGGUUCCAGAGGCACGCACUCCGGCAAAUCUCAGGCACUACCGCCGUUCAUCUCUGACCCUAACUCUCUCCUGGAUGUAGAAGCAGGGUGGCGGGGAGCCCCCCAGCCUCGGGCAGAGUGGGAGGGUGUAACCCCAAGGAGGUGGCCGCACUCCGCCGGGAAGGGAACGGACCGGACGGGCUGCAACAUCAGUCAGGAACUCCCUCCCCGGCGCAGACUGCCCUGACUCCGUAGG